UACGUAGGGGCCUAGCGUUGUCCGGAUUUAUUGGGCGUAAAGGGCGCGUAGGCGGCCUCUGCAAGUCGACUGUGAAAUCUCCGGGCUUAACCCGGAAAGGUCAGCCGAUACUGCAGGGCUAGAGUGCAGAAGGGGCAACUGGAAUUCUCGGUGUAGCGGUGAAAUGCGUAGAUAUCGAGAGGAACACCUGCGGCGAAGGCGGGUUGCUGGGCUGAUACUGACGCUGAGGCGCGAAAGCCAGGGGAGCGAACGGG
rnacentral:rRNA from 1 species